GCAUUAUUAAAAUGUUCAAGAGGAUCAUAUUAGGGCUUCAGAAUAAAUACUAACUUCCCACAAUAAUCUUCACACAUUCGUCCAUAGGGAACGCUGGAAUAAUGACCCUUUGAAUUUGUAAUACAAAGGAGAGGCUUUUCUUCUCCCCCUCUCCUUGCCAGCAGUGUGGUGGCAUUGCACACUAAAGAGCCUGCUGCUAGAGGAGAGGUUAACCCGAGAGAGGAGGCACUUAGAGAAAGGAACUUAAUAGAAAAAAUGGUGGCUAAAGCAGGCACAUGAAGAAAUAAAUGGACUAAAGCAACAGGGCUGGCUCUGACAGGAAGCGGGGAUUCGGGACUUCAAAUACAAACAUUAUGAAAAACAAGCAACAUCUGCAAACAUACCCUUCAAGUUCCAGAGGGAAAAAACACAUCAGUGCUGCUGCGUCUUUAUCCUGUGGAAUCUAAACUAGAAUUGAGCGUGUUGCAGGCAAUCAAUAUUACUGUGAAAAUUAGCCUUUAUGACUGAGCCACUGUUUGCUCACAGGGAAAAAAAAAAAAAGCUGGUGUGAAUAGAGUGCAGCUACCAAACCAGUGCUGUGAGCACACUGCAGCUUAGCUCGUGUCCCGGGGCUCUCUUCCAGAGGGUUAUCACCCACCUGAGGG
rnacentral:lncRNA from 1 species